GAAACGUACGACUGACGAUGGAUGUCAGCCUGAAUCGUGUAACAUACAAUGAUUCGCGGAAGUACUCGAACGCCAGCAUAGAAAAAGCGCUUACCAUUUUUACGAAAAUACGACGUGUUUCCUACUUUCUCCACUUUGUCAGCAUAAUAAACUAAUCAGAAGAAUGGAUGUUCUAAAGUUGUUAUACUUACCCUAGGGGAAAAAUAUAAUACGAAAGAUCAAACAAUUUGUCUAAAUGAAUGUUUGAAGAUAUUUCCUUGAAAGUAAUAAAAUAUCUAAUACGUUAAGAGGAAUUUAACGAAGAGUUCGUAAAGUGGCUGUAACAAUCAUCGAUAAAGGACUAUGAAUUCACAGUAGUACGAGUGUAUCUUGUGUCAGACAUCUAGCGCGGAGCUUAUUUCAUCGCUUGAAACCUGUCUUUUUCUUUAAGUUGAUCUUAAUAAAAACUCAACUUUAUAUUAUAUAUUCUUAUAUUUUUUAAACAUCGUUUAAACAAUGUAUCAAAUUCCAGUU
rnacentral:misc_RNA from 1 species